GUCUCUUCAGGUUCCCAUUUCUCCUUGAAAACUGGAGGAGCGUGCUUAGUGCCGAGGUAAUCUCUGUCCUUGCUCUCUUCCAGAAUCUGGAUGUUUACCUAAAGUCAGCUGCAGAAUUUUAAGCCCCUGAGCAGCCACUAGAUGUCAGAAUGUGGAUCUCCCAUCUCCCUGGAGUUCUGCAGAAAACCUUGCAGCCCCAUGCUCUGGGUGAGCCGUGCACAGAGGGUGCUGCAGGAGCAGGAGCCAGCCCUGGGCUCUGGAGUUUGGGAAGCAGCUGCUCACAGGUACCACUGCCACCCCCAGAGGGAAUGUUUGGGGUCAGAGCUUCCAGGCUGGGGCCUCUGAGCUCCUCUCCUCCCAGCAGGGCAAAGGGAAUCUGAAUUUGCUGAAGGAUUGGUUCCUUGGGUGUUACUGUAGUGAAUCUCCUUGGAUGCACAACCUCUGCCUUCAGUGAGGCCUUUUUUGCCUGCACAACAGCCAGAUGGGCGAGCCCUUUUGGCGAUUUUGUGUCUGACAGGAGGGGCUGAGUCCCACAGUGCCCAUGCAGAGGUGCAGGAGAUGCAGAGGGGUGAACUGGGAUGGAAAGCACGGCAGGAUGGGGCUGGCAGAGGCAGCUCUGCAGGUUUGGAUGUUCACAGGGGUGUGUUAUUUGCAGGAAUGCACAGCAGCAGAGGAGGGCUGAACCCCUCCCCUGGGGGCAGUGAGCAGCCCCUACACCCGGGACAGAGCUGGUGGCACUUGGGGACACUCAGAACACCCAGCACAGAGCUGUAGGAUGGUGUCACUCCUUUCCUUUUGCUCCCUUUUGGGGAUUCUUGGAACACGCAGCACAGAGCGGUAGGAUGGUGGCACUUGGCUCCUUGUGGGCCCUUUUGGGGACGCUCAGAACACCCAGCACAGAGCUGUAGGAUGGUGUCACUCCUCUCCUUUGGCUCCCUUUUGGG